UAUUUUAAAGAGAGUUUGAUCCUGGCUCAGGACGAACGCUGGCGGCGUGCCUAAUACAUGCAAGUCGAACGAACGGAGGAAGAGCUUGCUCUUCCAAAGUUAGUGGCGGACGGGUGAGUAACACGUGGGCAACCUGCCUGUAAGUUGGGGAUAACUCCGGGAAACCGGGGCUAAUACCGAAUGAUAAAGUGUGGCGCAUGCCACGCUUUUGAAAGAUGGUUUCGGCUAUCGCUUACAGAUGGGCCCGCGGUGCAUUAGCUAGUUGGUAGGGUAAUGGCCUACCAAGGCAACGAUGCAUAGCCGACCUGAGAGGGUGAUCGGCCACACUGGGACUGAGACACGGCCCAGACUCCUACGGGAGGCAGCAGUAGG
rnacentral:rRNA from 1 species